rnacentral:rRNA from 1 species
UACGGAGGAUCCAAGCGUUGUUCGGAUUUACUGGGCGUAAAGGGCGCGUAGGCGGCAAAUUAAGUCAGCUGUGAAAUCUCCGAGCUUAACUCGGAACUGUCAGCUGAUACUGAUCUGCUAGAGUGCGGAAGGGGCAAUCGGAAUUCUUGGUGUAGCGGUGAAAUGCGUAGAUAUCAAGAGGAACACCUGAGGUGAAGACGGGUUGCUGGGCCGACACUGACGCUGAGUGCGCGAAAGCCAGGGGAGCAAACGGG